AAUUAAUAUUUUACUUUUUUAUUUUAAUUUUUAUUUAAUAGGAGUAACUUUCUUUUUAGUAGGUUUUACUGAAUAAAUUUUUUUUGUGGUAGUUUAAAUGUACUGUGAAGGGUGGUUUUAAAAUUAAUUGGAAGGAGUUAUAAUUUAGUGUACCUUUUGUAUCAGGGGUGAUUAAUUACUUUUAUUUAUUUAAUUUUCCCGAAAUCGGAGUAGAUACUGUCAUAUGUUAGUUAAUGUUUCACAAUUAUUAAAAAUAUGGUGGUAGUAAUGAUAAGUUAUUCGUUUCCGGAUAUCUGGUUCUUUAAGAGUUAAAUUUAAUUUAGAAUUGUUAAUAUAUAUUCUUAUUUUAAUUGGGCUUUAUUUGACAAUUUAAUGUUCUUGGGGAUAAGCUCAGGAAUAUUGUUUAUAAUUUUAUAAAGGUUAGGUAGUUUCUGUAGGCUUGGAAUCGGCCAUCAUUAAUUUCGUUAUAGAUUAUUCUUAUCUUUUGUUAUUUUGUGGAAUUUAAUUUUAUAUUAGGGUUAUUUGUGUAAUUUUUUAUUAUUUGUAAUAAUGAUUAUAUUAGUAUAUAGUUAUUUAAGAUAUAGUAAUUCGGCAAAUAUUGUGCCCGCCUGUUUAACAAAAACAUGUCCUUUUGUUUAUUUAUUUAAGGUCUGGCCUGCCCAAUGAUUGUUUUAAUGGCCGCGGUAUAUUAACCGUGCUAAGGUAGCGUAAUCAUUUGUCUUUUAAUUAAGGGCUUGUAUGAAGGGUUGGACGAGGCACAUCCUUUCUUUAUCUUAGUUUUUGAAUUUAUCUUUUUAGUUAAAAGACUAAAAUAUAUCUGGGGGACGAGAAGACCCCAUAGAGCUUUAUAUUACUUUUAAUUAGAUUUAUUUGGUUAUUUAUGGUUUAAUUUGUUGUAUUAUUUGAUUGGGGUGAUCACGGGGAAUUAAUAACUCCUGCUUUAUAUAUUUCGUUUAUGGGCGUCUUAAUGAUCCAUUAAUAAUGAUUAUAAGAUCAAGUUACCUUGGGGAUAACAGCGUAAUCUUUUCGGAGAGUUCAUAUCGAUGAAGGGGAUUGCGACCUCGAUGUUGGAUUAAAAUAAGUAUUAGGUGUAGCAACUUAAUUACUGGGUCUGUUCGACCCUUAAUUUUUUACAUGAUCUGAGUUCAGACCGGUGUGAGCCAGGUCAGUUUCUAUCUUCAGUUUAAGUUUAAUAUCUUAGUACGAAAGGACCGGGUAUUAGGAAUAAAUUCUUUUUAAUUUGAUUAAUAUU
rnacentral:rRNA from 2 species